rnacentral:rRNA from 1 species
CAAUAGCGUAUAUUAAAGUUGUUGCAGUUAAAAAGCUCGUAGUUGGAUUUCGGAGCCGACCGGGCGGUCUGUCGAGAGACACGCACUGCACGGUGGCUCUUCCUCUCGGAGGCCCUGGCUGCCCUUAACUGGAGCGGGCAGGGGAUUCGGGACGUUUACUUUGAAAAAAUUAGAGUGUUCAAAGCAGGCCGGUGCUUGGAUACAUUAGCAUGGAAUAAUGGAAUAGGGCUUGGGUCCUAUUUUGUUGGUUUUCGGGACCGAGGUCAUGGUUAAGAGGGACAGUUGGGGGCAUUCGUAUUCAAUUGUCAGAGGUGAAAUUCUUGGAUUUAUGGAAGACGAACAACUGCGAAAGCAUUUGCCAAGGAUGUUUUCAUUAA